GGCUCUUUGGCAAUGUGGGCAGCGCGUAUGACUCUUACCCAGAAGUCUGGGGUUCAAUCCCCCGCCAAGGCCCU